UACGACUACAUAUCAGGCAUAUCAAUAAGCGGAGGAAAAGAAACUAACAAGGAUUCCCUUAGUAACGGCGAGUGAAGCGGGAAGAGCUCAAAUUUGAAAUCUUCAAGGUUCUACCUUGACGAAUUGUAGUUUAAAGAAGUGUUUUCUGUUGAAGUUUUGGUAAAAGUUCUUUGGAAUAGGACAUCAUAGAGGGUGAGAAUCCCGUAUUUGACCAUUAUUUUCAGCUGUGUGAUACACUUUCAAAGAGUCGGAUUGUUUGGGAAUGCAGUCCAAAAUGGGUGGUAAAUUUCAUCUAAAGCUAAAUAUUGGCGAGAGACCGAUAGCGAACAAGUACCGUGAGGGAAAGAUGAAAAGAACUUUGAAAAGAGAGUUAAACAGUACGUGAAAUUGUCGAAAAGGGUAAGCGUUUGACACCAGUGUUGUUUUCUCGAAAAUCAAUUAAAAAUGGCGUGAUUUUGUGUUGUAUUGACUCUUAUAAGCUUUCUGCACUCUUUUUCAUGUCUUCUUUAAUGCACUUUUCGUUUAACAAGUCAACAUCAGUUUCUUUUGUUGUAAAAAGGUCAUUGGAAGGUGGCUUUCUUUUCGGAGAAAGUGUUUAUAGCCUUUGACUCCUGCAAUCGGAGAGACUGAGGUCUGCAGCGUAGAUCCUUCUGGAUUAGAUUCAUUUGUGCUAAGUUACAACCGUUUAUAGACAACUUGUUGACUAUAUUCGAUCCUGUAGCUUACUCGCUUAUGUAAUUUUACCUACGCUUAGGAUGUUGAGCGCAUGUCUCUCUCU
rnacentral:rRNA from 1 species